GUCUAAUUGUUGUAGAAUAUCUCAGAUCCAGGACCGCCAUUAGAGGGUCGCAGAUAGGGUGCAUGAACGUCUGCUGAAGAAGUAAGACAUUUCCUCUUAUACUAGCAGGACAUCAAGCCAGCUGAUUUGGCACGUUUUUCAGUGUUACAGCAACUAUACGAAGCUGAACUUGGUUAACUGGAUUUGACAGCAAACCUGCACAAGGGAAUCUACAUAGUGUAUAACUGUCUGUACCAUUAGAAAUUAGUUGGCAUGUGGAAGUCUUUUUCUUCAGAAUCACAAAGGCAAAGACUUAAAACAAAGCCAUUUUGAGUCAGUGAAACUACAUCAAAUGCAAGUCAUAUAGUUGUAUAUACACUAUAUGGACAAAAGUAUUGGGACACACCUUUCACUUAUUGAAUUCAGGCAUUUCAUCCAGACUCGUUGCCACAGGUGUAUAAAAUCAAGCAUCUAGCCCUGCAGUUAGUCAGGUUUACAAAUUUGUGAAAGAAUGGGUCGUUCUGAAGAGCUCAGUGAGUUUGAGCGAGGUACUGUUAUAGGAUGCCACCUUUGCAAGAAGUCAGUUCGUGAAAUUUCUUCCUUGCUAGGUAUUCCACGGUCAACUGUAAGUAAUAUUAUUGCAAAGUGGAAACGUUUAGGAACAACAGAAACUCAGCCUCGAAGUGGGAGACCACGUAAAGUUACAGAGCGGGGUAGACGAGUGCUAGGACGCAUAGUGAGUAAAAGUCACCAAUGCUCUGUUGACUCGAUAACUGCAGAGUUCCAAACCUCCUCUGGCAUUAACCUCAGCACAAGAACUGUGCGCCGAGAGCUUCAUGGAAUGGGCUCCCAUGACCGAGCAGCUGCAUGUAAACCUCUCAUCACCAAGCGCAACGCCAAGAGUCCAGGGCUGCCACGUGUCGUCGAUGUAGGCGACGGCGUCGAUGCUGGAAAUCCUGAAGAGGAGUAUGUGAAACUACUGGAUGAUGUGGGCCUUGCAAGGACGGAAAAAUGUACAGAGGAGUUCAUACAGAACAAGGACAAGGAUUUAACAGAAUUGUUGGAUUUCGUUGAAUGAUUCUUGAUCUUGAGGAUGUACAUGUGCUGUAUCACAGGGCAGUGUUUUGUUGCAAAGUGUAAAGUCAGAUCAUAAUUGAAGGAAAUGUAUAUCUGAGAAGGGUACUUGUUUCCCUCAUUCUGAAUGUUAAUUCUGAGGGAUUUGUGGAUUUUUUUUGUAUUAAACUGUGCAACUAGUUGGCUGGAAUUUAUCACCCACUUACCAAUAUAACUGCAGGUCAGGGUCAUGUGGACUAUUUGGUUGAAAAAUAGGCUGAAACAUAAAACAUUUAUUUUUUUAGUAGAGCUAUAAUGUUUGUAAUGUAUACUGAAUUCCAAGAUUCAGAAAGAGACUAGAAGGUGCGGGUAUGGUUUGAUACAUGAAUAAUUAUUUUUUUUUUGCUUGGUCUUUGUGAGUGACCAUGCAUUGUAACAUGUCAUUUCUGCCAGUCCAUAGCUGCAUGUUGUACAAAAAUGGCAGCAAUAAGUGGAAAUAAGAUGUAUGAUAUGUUUUUUUAAGUUAUAUACUAUUGCAACUUUCCUAUAAAAACUGAACUGUUCAGGUUAUCAUUCAGUGACUUCUCCGAUUUUAUUCAGGUUCAAGUGUAUAUUAAAUUUGCACUGAAUAAAAUUUUGUGUAAGUUACAAA